rnacentral:tRNA from 1 species
UCCUUGGUGGCUCAGGUGGUAAAGCAUCUGCCUACAAUGCAGGAGACCUGGGUUCGAUCCCUGGGUUGGGAA